UGUGCAGGCAUAUAGUGAUCCCAUGUUAUAUAAUGUCUGUGCAGGCAUAUAGUGAUCCCAUCUUAUAUAAUGCCUGUGCAGGUAUGUAUUGAUCCUACAGUACAUAAUGUCUGUACAGGCAUGUAGUGGUCCCACAGUACAUAAUGUCUGUGCAGGCAUGUAGUGAUCCCACAGUACAUAAUGUCUGUGCAGGCAUGUAGUGAUCCUACAGUACAUAAUGUCUGUGCAGGCAUGUAGUGAUCCCAUGUUAUAUAAUGCCUGUGCAGGCAUGUAGUGAUCCUACAGUACAUAAUGUCUGUGCAGGCAUGUAGUGAUCCCAUGUUAUAUAAUGCCUGUGCAGGUAUGUAUUGAUCCCACAGUACAUAAUGUCUGUGCAGGCAUGUAGUGAUCCUACAGUACAUAAUGUCUCGGCAGGCAUGUAGUGAUCCCAUGUUAUAUAAUGCCUGUGCAGGCAUGUAAUGAUCCCACAGUACAUAAUGUCUGUGCAGGCAUGUAGUGGUCCCAUGUUAUAAUAUGUCUGUGCAGGCAUGUAGUGAUCCCGUAGUACAUAAUGCCUGUGCAGGCAUGUAGUGAUCCCGUAGUACAUAAUGUCUGUGCAGGCAUGUAGUGGUCCCACAGUACAUAAUGUCUGUGCAGGCAUGUAGUGGUCCCACAGUACAUAAUGUCUGUGCAGGCAUGUAGUGAUCCCACAGUACAUAAUGUCUGUACAGGCAUGUAGUGAUCCUACAGUACAUAACAUCUGUGCAGGCAUGUAGUGUUCCUAUAGUACAAAACGUCUGUGCAGGUAUGUAGUGAUCCUACAGUACAUAACGUCUGUACAGGCAUGUAGUGAUCCUACAGUACAUAACAUCUGUGCAGGCAUGUAGUGAUCCUACAGUACAUAACGUCUGUGCAGGUAUGUAGUGAUCCUACAGUACAUAACAUCUGUGCAGGCAUGUAGUGAUCCUACAGUACAUAACGUCUGUGCAGGCAUGUAGUGAUCCUACAGUACAUAACAUCUGUGCAGGCAUGUAGUGAUCCUACAGUACAUAACGUCUGUGCAGGCAUGUAGUGAUCCUACAGUACAUAACGUCUGUGCAGGCAUGUAGUGAUCCUACAGUACAUAACGUCUGUGCAGGCAUGUAGUGAUCCUACAGUACAUAAUGUCUGUACAGGCAUGUAGUGAUCCCACAGUACAUAAUGUCUAAAUAGAGAAGUCUUAUGUGUUGAUUCCCAAGUUGAAACUAUAAGUUAAAUGGACAUUAGUCUGUAAAGGAACUCAGUGUGAAAUCAAAGAACAACAAAGAAAUGUGAUUUAAUAAACAACUGUAUUCUAAAACUUAGAAAUCACUACAGAGAACUUACAAUGGCAGUACAACAUAAAAUUGCAGUGCUAACUGAAAGGCAGAAUUAUUUACACUCUGGUGAGUGGUCAAGCUCAAACAACAGUGGUCAAGCUCCCACAAUAGGCCUUGGCACUGUAUUCUGUGUGAAAGGUGCUGGUCUUCUUGUAAUGUUGGAUGUCAUGCAAGAUGCAUAUGUAUCAAAGUUUCCUGAACUAUUGAUAACACUGGAUCAGACAACAGUGAAUAUUGGGGAGGGUCGAGAAAUGUCCAAACCAGUGUUGUGUAUUGUCAUACCCAGCACACCACUGCUCUCCACUGAAUCUUCACACAAACAAUGUCCUACAACACUUUCUACAAUAUCUACAAACACUGCCACAUAACAGAAUAUUCUGCAUGUUUUUCUUGAAUUUCAUGUUUAAGAUGAUUUCUAUACUUCUGUUCCUGUUGUUAACAAGACGCCUUUACCUCCCUCAACCCAUUACAUUAGCUGGUAAUCAGGUCCUCCAACCACCAGAUAACAUUUUUACUGGUGUCGCCAAACAGGCUAAUUCCGAAACGUGUCAUUUACUUAUCUAUCUAUCACAUGUCACCUUUUCUCCUGGUAAUAAGCGAUCGCCUCCGUGGUGUAGUGGUUAGAGCGUCCGCCCGGAGAGCGGAAGGUCGCGGGUUCGAU
rnacentral:lncRNA from 1 species